AUGGGCGCCGGCUUGUAUGCCUACAUCGACAACACCGUUGACGAGCCUCCCAAGAUAAUCACCACCAAAGACAAAGACGGCAAGGAUCAAGUGAUCUCCAACCCUGCCUAUGCCCCCUGGCUCGUCCAGGAUCAACAUAUUGUCGCUUACCUCAUGUGCAACCCGUGCAAGGAGGUCCUCGUCCAGGUCGCGUCCCUUGAGACGUCCCAUGCCAUCUAGACAGCCUUGGCCACCAUGUUCUCGGCGGUGUCGUUGUCCCGUGCCAAUAAUCUUCGCGCCUCGCUCACGAACGCCCGGAAGGGAUCUCUGUCGGCCUCAGCGUACUUCGGCCAUAUGCGCUCCCUCUCCGAUGAGCUCGCGGCGACCGGCAAACUACUCGGGGACGGGGAGCUCAUCUCCUUCAUCACCGUCGGCCUCGACAUGGACUGUCAACCCAUCAUCUCCGCGCUGGACGUUCGCACCGAGCCCAUCACCGUCGACGGCCUUUUUUCUCUCGUGGCCAACUAUGACAAGCGGCUUGAUAUGUUUCACGGCACCACCAGCUUCAAGUCAUCCGCCAACGCUGCCUUGCAAGGGUAG
rnacentral:rRNA from 1 species